rnacentral:rRNA from 1 species
CACGGGGGGAGCAAGCGUUGUUCGGAAUCACUGGGCGUAAAGGGAGUCUAGGCUGUCAGGUAAGUGAGAUGUGAAAUCCCUCGGCUUACCCGAGGACCUGCAUUUCAUACUGCUUGGCUUGAGUACGGGAGAGGAUGUGGGAAUUCCCGGUGUAGCGGUGAAAUGCGUAGAUAUCAGGAGGAACACCGGUGGCGAAGGCGCACAUCUGGCCCGAUACUGACGCUGAAGCUCGAAAGCUAGGGGAGCAAACGGG